rnacentral:rRNA from 1 species
AGUGAACGCUGGCGGUAGGCCUAAUACAUGCAAGUCGAACGGCAGCACAGUAAGAGCUUGCCCUUACGGGUGGCGAGUGGCGGACGGGUGAGGAAUACAUCGGAAUCUACUUUUUCGUGGGGGAUAACGUAGGGAAACUUAUGCUAAUACCGCAUACGACCUACGGGUGAAAGCAGGGGAUAUUGGGACUUUUCGCGAUUGAAUUAGCCGAUGCCGGACUAGCUAGUUGGCGAGGUAAAGGCCCACCAAGGCAACGAUCCGUAGCUGGUCUGAGAGGAUGAUCGGCCACACUGGAACUGAGACACGGUCCAGACUCCUACGGGAGGCAGCAGUGGGGAAUACUGGGCAAUGGGCGCAAGCCUGAUCCAGCCAUGCCGCGUGAGUGAAGAAGGCCUUCGGAUUGUAAAGCCCUUUUGUUGGGAAAGAAAAGCAGCAGAUUAAUACCCCGCUGUUCUGACGGUACCCAAAGAGUAAGCGUCGGCUAACUUCGUG